rnacentral:lncRNA from 1 species
UCUUUUAUUAUUGUUUUUUAAUGGAAUGAUAAUGAUCCUGGAAUAAGUAUCCUGCAAAUGAAAAGGCUAAUAUAGCAGUUGCCCUGAGGAGCUUAAAUAUAUGGGGAAAAAAAAAUGGGCACACUAGCCUAAAGGUCUGGAAUGGUAAAGGAUAUGUUCUUGAACUCCACUAAUCUCAGUAACGGGGGUUGUGAUGUGAAUCUUGUAUCAUGCUCACAUGUAUCUGAAGUUCAAAGUAUUGCUGUGCUGUGCAAAGGUCUAUCUCACCUCAGAGCUGUAGGAAUAGCAAAGAAACAAGUAAAAACAGACAGACGAGAAAGGAACAUUACUGAUAUCCCCAAAACAAAAAGAAGAAAAAGAUUCCAUGGGCAUUUCUCUUUUUAUCUACAAUUACUUUUACCUUGCGAACAGUUAAAAUGAUUUUUUGAGGCAUGCCCUACUUCUGAAUGUGAGAGAAGACAACAGGUUAUUUGCAUGUUUGCAAAUUCAUUUCAGUACAAGUAAAUAAUCAGUCUCCUUUCAAAUAAAGUCUAACUUCAAAUGCUAUCAAAAAUCAUCAAUAUUUGAUAAAUUAAUUUGUAUAUUUGUUUUUCAUUUGUACUUCACCUACUGUUUUGAGCAUUAAAGAAAGAUACAUAUGCAUUUUUAUCAUUUUCCUUAACAUUUAGUAACUGAUAAAGACAUUAUUUUAUAGAAGUUUCAUUUCUUUUUCACAAAAACAGUGGCGAUUUUCAACACAAAACUGCCACAACAAAACCUUUAUUUUUAUGACAAACUCAAAACUUUCUAUAAUUCAGCCUAGUAAGAGCAACCUGAGAUGGUGAUAGAAGACUUGUAAAAUAAAGCAUUACCCAAGACUUUCAGUAAUUCGAACUGAAACAGUUAGUCCAUAAAGGGUUUUCACAGUUUAUCUGCACCUAUUUAUAUAAUUUCUUAAUCUUUUCAUAUACAGUAAUUGAUGUUCUAUCUUUACAUACAUAUUCCACAUGUUUUCCUGCAAUGUUACACUGCUAACUUUAGUAAUAUCUUGUGAACUCGUUACACAGAUAAAUUACAUAAACUUCUCUUUUAGGAGUUUUUUGUUGUUGUUGUUGUUGUUGUUUUUUGUCUUCCAAUUCUAUUGAAUGUUUCCAUUGCUCUUCUGUAGAAAAAAAAGGAAACAAUAGGACGCUACAGUUCCUAAAUUAUGUACUACAUAAUGCUGUCGUGAAAUAUGUGAGUGUAUUCUUCCCAGUUAUCUAUGAUCAUAUCUAUAAUGCCUAUAAUCCAAUAGGCAUC